GUCUCUGUGGCGCAAUCGGUUAGCGCGUUCGGCUUUCAACCGAAAGGUUGGUGGUUCAAGACCACCCAGGAACG
rnacentral:tRNA from 1 species